rnacentral:rRNA from 1 species
UACGGAGGGUGCAAGCGUUAUCCGGAUUUACUGGGUUAAAGGGUGCGUAGGUGGAUAAGUAAGUCAGUGGUGAAAUCUCCGGGCUUAACCCGGAAACUGCCAUUGAUACUAUUGUCUUGAAUACUUUGGAGGUAAGCGGAAUAUGUCAUGUAGCGGUGAAAUGCUUAGAUAUGACAUAGAACACCAAAUUGCGAAGGCAGCUUACUACACAGUAAU